AAUGGGAGAAGAACCAUUGGAAACCAACCCAACUAUUCCCUCUGUUUCAGAUCGCCUCUUCUUUCAGCCAAGUCGGGUCAGCCCGUCAUGAAUGCCCAAACUGAGCCCAAUUUCGAACAUCUCAUUGUUAACCAUUAAUCUGAGCAGCACCCCGUGACAAAAAAUGUAUAAACAGCCUUGGAAAUUUGUGUCCAGUAGA
rnacentral:lncRNA from 1 species